UUUUCUUCUUCUUUUUCUUCUUUUUUUCUUUAAGACGUUCUUCUUCCUCCCUUUCUCUUCUUAUGGCGUCUUGAUAGCUUUCAAUCGCCGCUAAUUUCUCUUGUUCUUCUAAUGCCUUCUGUCGCUCAUAUAUCUUGGCUCUUUCUUCUCUCUGUCUGACAGCAAUUCUCCUCCUCUCCUCUUCUUCCCAUAAUCGUUUAUCAUCCAUUUUUUUCCUUCCUAAAGUCUCUUCAUAUAAGUAUUCCCUCUCUUGCUGCCCCAUGUACGACAAUUCAUUGAUUUUCUUUGUCUUCCUGUACUCCAUGCCACUGCUUCCAUCCAGGAAGCCUUCAUCCACACUUGUUGAGUCCUUGAGUUGCUUAAUUACAAUUUUCUUGCUGCGAUGUGACUCUGCAGUCUCCAUUGGUGGCCUUACCAGAAUGGAAGG
rnacentral:misc_RNA from 1 species